GAUCAUUUCCAGUACUUGAGGAAUGCAAACGUGGGCAAGUGCCAUAUUGUCCAAUCAAUGACUUGGCCGCGGAGCACAGCGGACCUCUGUGGGAGCAGUUAGUGUCAGAGAAGCGGAGAGAGAGAGAGAGAGAGAGAGAGAGAGAGAGAGAGAGAGAGAGAGAGAGAGAGAGAGAGAGAGAGAGAGAGAGAGUCAGCAGCAUCAGCGCCGUACGUGGAGCCUUUGAGCAUCACAGGAGGGGAGAGAGAAAGCGCUCAGACGUUCACCGCAACGACAAAACUGUAAUAACGUGACUAGACUCGAAAGAUCAUUUUUUUCUAAAAAAGCGUCUACUCACUGAUUUUAUACGCUUCCUUUGUGUUAUUGUUUUUGUACUGGAGGAGAGGUGGUGGUGGUGGUGGUGGGGGGGGGAACAACGAGAGAGGCUUCACUGCGGCUAAUCAAUUUCCUCUUCCAGACCUGGGAAUUACAAUGAAAAAUGUAGGUGACACAUUUUCUUUUACAAUCCCGGAAUCACAAUAGGAUCCAAGAGAAGACGGCAAAGAAAGACAACAGGGUGAAAAUGGUGACGGGUGCCGCAUCCAUAGGAUCAGCAUCCUCUCUCUGGAGCCCCUGCGUAAAAGAAAAAAACAGUGCACAGCAAGACAAAUGGCCAGACUCAGCAGGAAGACAGAGUGAGACCAGCAGCGGUACUGUAUAUAUGCAGUCAGACAGACAGAUACCUCGCCAGCCACACAGGCGUGUAAACCAGCAGCACAUACAGGCAUGUAUAGGAAGACAGGACGACAGACGGGUUGUCGGCGGGGCUGGAAGAUAUAAUAAAGGUUAAGUUUUUUCUUUCUGUGUAGUUUUGGCUGUUGUAACAAUAUGAUUUCCUAAUUGGUAUUGAUAAAGCGUUCUAUGAUGUAAUAAUGUAAGCAGGUUUUUGAUGAUACCACAUGACUACACACCAGUUUCUCACGUUAGGUUUGACUCUUUAGAUUAAUGUUGAAUAACAAGCCGAGUAUCCUUUAAUAAACACAGACAUAAUGAAAUGAAAAUCCCAUUAUUCUUACUUCCUGGACGAUAGCGUUAUCUUAAGCUUUACGUCAUUGUGUACCGGUAGGCAUAAAAACAAAAAUAAAACCAGCCAAUAAAACUGUCACAGCGAUGUUUGAACAGUCUGACCUUGGCCCCUUUACAUCCUGUUUUAACAGGAGAUAACAUCACACGAAGGAAGAAAAAUGCCCCCAUAAUGCUGUAAAUAUUGCAUAAACUCUUCAUUCAUAAGAAGGCUUUGUGGUUCAUUUUAUUAGCCACUUUAAUUUGUAAUAAAUGUAGAAUUAAUAGUCUGAUAUUUGAUU